CCACUGAGGGAGCAGUAGGAGUCUCCAUGAGGAAAGUUGUUUUUGAGGUAAAUUUGAAGAUUGACUGGAAUUUUGAUGGAGAAAUAACCACCAAGAAACAAGAAUAACACAGGCAAAAGCCCAAAGACUAAGAUGUAAAAAACUAGUUGAAGAACCAUAAUUUAAAGUGUAGUGCUUUGAAAGGAGUAUUUAUGAAGAAAAUAGUAGGGAUAAGACUGGAAAGGGUGAUUAAGUUCUGUUUUUCCAGAACAAGGAUUUGGGGAGUUUAAGAAGGAGCUAGAAGCACAUAAUUACUUUAGUAGGGUGGGAAGUUUCUUUAAAACUAUUUUGCAAGUGUCAGCCAAAUUAUGAAAUCCAAGCCUGGUGGAACAGAAGCAAGAAAGCAUAAUCCAAAAGGAUAGUUAAAUCCUGGUUAGCAGAGAAUGGGAAGAAGAUGGGCCAAGGGAGCUACAGUGCUCAGUGGAGAUUCUGAAGUUGGAUGGGCCUGAAUCCACUUUAGAAUGCUCCUGCAGAAUAGGACAAAAUGCAAGAUCGGCGUCUCUCUAAUCCCAGGAGCAGGCAACGAUUUCUCUCCUGUGACACCAUGGGGACAAGCCCAGAGAGCAGACCUGUGGGCCUGGGGAGGUGGAAGGAUUUCUGUGAAACUUGUCUGCAGAAAAGCCAGACCUGCCAGGACAUUGCUGCAAAAUGACAGCUGCAUUCACAGAAUCCACUCUUCUCAGUUUGCAGAUGGGCCAUAGAAAACCAACAACAACAGGAGACUUUUCAACAAAUAACGGAGGGAUGUUCUGGGAAUUCUACUGCUUCUUUGCUGUGACCUCUGGAGAUUUUCUAAAUUAGAAUCAUUACCUAUAUGGGAAGCCUGCAAUGCAAAUCAAAUGAGAGGCCACGGGCAAGCUAAUGAAGGCCAAUGACCCAGGGAUCUAAUGAAGAUGAACAGCUCUGUUACAGGGAGAGGACGCCACCAUAUCACAUGCCGCUUGGAGCAGGAAAAGAGUUUCAGAUGAUGAGGUCACCAAAGGUCAGAAGAUGAGCCUCCAAAGGAAAUACAGAAGAAUAUACUUUGGAAUGGCUGAGCAAAGUGUGGACAUUGAAACUAAGGAAUGCUAUAGCAAGUGUGCCUAGGAGGUGCCUGGCUAGAACAGUGAAGACAUCAACCAACGCUGCAGCUCUCAGUGAGCCAACAAUAGACUAAGAGUUGGGGGAUCAAUUUUCCCCAUUGAACAAUCAAGAAAAACUUGGAGGCCCACAACUGGAAAACAUUUACUUGAAAAUCACUGAUGCAGGAACUUCUGAGACUGGAGCAGCCCACAUGUAUGCUUAUAAAAGGGAGGCAGAGGGAGACUUGACCAAUAAACAGGAGGAUUCAAUGUGAUCAUGGAGGCACCGAAGCUGGAAGAGGCAAAAACAGAUUCUUCCCUAAAGCCGUUGUGGCGCACAGCCAUGCUGAUAUUCUGACUUCAACCCAGGGACACUGAUUUUGGACUUCUGACUCCUGGAACUGUGAGAAAAUGUUUUUCUAUUGUUUUAACCCACCAAAUUUGUGGUAAUUUGUUAUAGUGGCCACAGGAAAUGAAUACAUCCUUCAUUUUUCAGAGUAAAAGCCUGUAAAAUUCAGGGUCCCCGGGUGGUUCAGUUGGUUAAACCUCCAACUUCAGUUCAGGUCAUGAUCUUGCAGUUGGUGAGUUCAAGCCUCGAGUUGGGCUCUGUGCUGACAGCUCGGAGCCUGGAGCCUGCUUGGGAUUCUAUGUCUUGCUCUCUCUUUGCCCCACCCUCACUUGCACUCUGUUUCUCUUUCUCUCUCUCAAAAAUAAGUAAAGUGUUUUUAAAAAUUAAAAAAAAAAAAAGCCUGUAAAAUUCUAUGGAAUCUAGCCCCUGUCAACUCCCUGAGUGCCCUCCUACAUCUUUUCCUAGCCUCCCCAGCUCCAGGCACACCUGUCCUUGUCCUUAAACAGACCAUGACCCAUCGCCCCAAGGUCUUUUCUCUAGCGGCUCCCUCAAGCUGAUGCUCUGGGACCUUCCUCACAUCCUUCAAAUUUGCUCAAGUGAGGUCUCUCUAGACCACGCUGUUUAAUACCACACUGCCCUUCACCACCCACUCCUGA